rnacentral:rRNA from 1 species
UACGGAGGGUGCAAACGUUGCUCGGAAUCAUUGGGCGUAAAGCGCACGUAGGCGGUCCGUUAAGUCGGGUGUGAAAUCCCUCGGCUCAACCGAGGAAGUGCAUUCGAAAACUGGCGGACUUGAAUAUGGAAGAGGGUCGUGGAAUUCCCGGUGUAGAGGUGAAAUUCGUAGAUAUCGGGAGGAACACCAGUGGCGAAGGCGGCGACCUGGGCCAAUAUUGACGCUGAGGUGCGAAAGCGUGGGGAGCAAAACAGGAU